GGGAAUGUGGCUUAGUGGUAGAGUGCUUGCCUAGCAUGCAUGAAGCCCCAGGUUCAGUUCCUCAGUACCA
rnacentral:tRNA from 1 species